rnacentral:rRNA from 1 species
AGUGAACGCUGGCGGUAGGCCUAACACAUGCAAGUCGAACGGCAGCACAGUAAGAGCUUGCUCUUACGGGUGGCGAGUGGCGGACGGGUGAGGAAUACAUCGGAAUCUACUUUUUCGUGGGGGAUAACGUAGGGAAACUUACGCUAAUACCGCAUACGACCUACGGGUGAAAGCAGGGGAUCUUCGGACCUUGCCCGAUUAAAUGAGCCGAUGUCGGAUUAGCUAGUUGGGGGGGUAAAGUCCCACAAAGGCGACGAUCCGUAGCUGGUCUGAGAGGAUGAUCAGCCAGACUGGAACUGAGACACGGUCCAGACUCCUACGGGAGGCAGCAGUGGGGAAUAUUGGACAAUGGGCGCAAGCCUGAUCCAGCCAUACCGCGUGGGUGAAGAAGGCCUUCGGGUUGUAAAGCCCUUUUGUUGGGAAAGAAAAGCAGCAGGUUAAUACCCCGCUGUUCUGACGGUACCCAAAGAAUAAGCACCGGCUAACUUCGUG